rnacentral:rRNA from 1 species
GGCGGCAGGCCUAACACAUGCCAUUCGAACGGUAACAGGAAACAGCUUGCUGUUUCGCUGACGAGUGUCGUACGGGUGAGUAAUUUCGGGUAAACUGCCCGAUGGAGUGAGAUAACUACUGGAAACGGUAGCUAAUACCGCAUAACGUCGCAAGACCAAAGAGGGGGACCUUCGGGCCUCUUGCCAUCGGAUGUGCCCAGAUGGGAUUAGCUAGUAGGUGGGGUAACGGCUCACCUAGGCGACGAUCCCUAGCUGGUCUGAGAGGAUGACCAGCCACACUGGAACUGAGACACGGUCCAGACUCCUACGGGAGGCAGCAGUGGGGAAUAUUGCACAAUGGGCGCAAGCCUGAUGCAGCCAUGCCGCGUGUAUGAAGAAGGCCUUCGGGUUGUAAAGUACUUUCAGCGGGGAGGAAGGGAGUAAAGUUAAUACCUUUGCUCAUUGACGUUACCCGCAGAAGAAGCACCGGCUAACUCCGUGCCAGCAGCCGCGGUAAUACGGAGGGUGCAAGCGUUAAUCGGAAUUACUGGGCGUAAAGCGCACGCAGGCGGUUUGUUAAGUCAGAUGUGAAAUCCCCGGGCUCAACCUGGGAACUGCAUCUGAUACUGGCAAGCUUGAGUCUCGUAGAGGGGGGUAGAAUUCCAGGUGUAGCGGUGAAAUGCGUAGAGAUCUGGAGGAAUACCGGUGGCGAAGGCGGCCCCCUGGACGAAGACUGACGCUCAGGUGCGAAAGCGUGGGGAGCAAACAGGAUUAGAUACCCUGGUAGUCCACGCCGUAAACGAUGUCGACUUGGAGGUUGUGCCCUUGAGGCGUGGCUUCCGGAGCUAACGCGUUAAGUCGACCGCCUGGGGAGUACGGCCGCAAGGUUAAAACUCAAAUGAAUUGACGGGGGCCCGCACAAGCGGUGGAGCAUGUGGUUUAAUUCGAUGCAACGCGAAGAACCUUACCUGGUCUUGACAUCCACGGAAGUUUUCAGAGAUGAGAAUGUGCCUUCGGGAACCGUGAGACAGGUGCUGCAUGGCUGUCGUCAGCUCGUGUUGUGAAAUGUUGGGUUAAGUCCCGCAACGAGCGCAACCCUUAUCCUUUGUUGCCAGCGGUCCGGCCGGGAACUCAAAGGAGACUGCCAGUGAUAAACUGGAGGAAGGUGGGGAUGACGUCAAGUCAUCAUGGCCCUUACGACCAGGGCUACACACGUGCUACAAUGGCGCAUACAAAGAGAAGCGACCUCGCGAGAGCAAGCGGACCUCAUAAAGUGCGUCGUAGUCCGGAUUGGAGUCUGCAACUCGACUCCAUGAAGUCGGAAUCGCUAGUAAUCGUGGAUCAGAAUGCCACGGUGAAUACGUUCCCGGGCCUUGUACACACCGCCCGUCACACCAUGGGAGUGGGUUGCAAAAGAAGUAGGUAGCUUAACCUUCGGGAGGGCGCUUACCACUUUGUGAUUCAUGACUGGGGUGAAGUCGUAACAAGGUAACCGUAGGGGAACCUGCGGUUGGAUCACCUCCUUA